rnacentral:lncRNA from 1 species
CUCUGAUGUCUGGAUGUGAAGUGAGAUGGCAUGGAGGGCCAGCCCGUGCUCUGUGGGAGGAUCUACAGGUGCUUGCUGUUCUCUGUCAGUGUUCUCUAUCAGCUGAGAUCUGAUGUGCAGCUGGAUAUCAUUCAGAAGGGACAGCUGAACUGUGAAGGGUUGUGCUGCUCCCAAUGACUUCUUCAGGAUAAGCUUGAGUGGAGAUUGAUGGACUGGCGUGUCCACAUUAAGAGCCAGACUCCUUUCUCUUGCUCCAGGCAUUUCUGCUUCUGGCUAAGCAAAAGGGGGACCUCCUGUUUAUUGCAAGUGUUUCCCCACACCAGGAGUGUCCCAGGACUAUCACUCUCUGAUCCUCAGGUGCUGGAGGGAUAAUUGUAGGGCUGGGGUGAAUGCUGCCUUCCUCCCUAGGUUUUUGUGAGGCCAAUGGGGUGCAGUUAAUGCCCUCAGGAGAUGAAUCUCACCCGGAUCUGCUGCCUGCAGAACCUUGCACACUCGUGGGAUCCAAUUGCAGGCCAUGGUCUAAGCUGUAUUGAGUUUCAGGAGGAAGUCUGGCUCAAAGUCCCGAGCCUUUGUGUAGCAGAGCCAAUAAAGAUGUGCUCAGCUUUGUGAGUAACCCCCACCUCUCACCUCUCCUUCCACCAGAGCAGUGAGAAGUGCAAUUACUCAGGACAGCAGCAGUCACAAACACUUUUUUGAUUCUUCAGGAAGAGAGAAAGAUUGAGAGAAUAGUUAAUGCAAAUGAACAGUCACAGCUGUGCAGAAGAGUUCAUGGAAAAGCAGUGCUAUGAAGAAAGGGGAGAGGGGGAAAAUAAUUCCUUUCUUCGCCGUGUGAAAAGAUGUGAGUGCACACAUGGUGGAAGAGGCAGCCUUGCACUGCCCUGGCACCAUCGGAGACGUGAGCUGCAAGAGUUCCACGUGGUCCAGCUGGUGGCCUGA